rnacentral:rRNA from 1 species
AUUGAACGCUGGCGGCAGGCCUAACACAUGCAAGUCGAGCGAGCGGCGGACGGGGGUGUAAUGUAUGUGGACUGCCCGAAAGAGGGGGGGAACUAUUGGAAACGGUGGCGAAUAUCGCGUACUAUCGGAUAACCCAUAUGGGAUUUGCUAGUAGGUGGGGUAAUGGCUCACCUAGGCGACGAUCCCUAGCUGGUCUGAGAGGAUGAUCAGCCACACUGGGAGUGAGACACGGCCCAGACUCCUACGGAGGCAGCAGUGGGGAAUAUUGCACAAUGGGCGCAAGCCUGAUGCAGCCAUGCCGCGUGUAUGAAGAAGGCCCUAGGGUUGUAAAGUACUUUCAGUCGGGAGGCGUUACCGACAGAAGAAGCACCGGCUAACUCCGUGCCAGCAGCCGCGGUAAUUC